rnacentral:rRNA from 1 species
AUGAAGGGAUCUGGAACGUUGGAUCGAAAAGAGGCACUGGCGAGAGAGGCUGAGAGCGAGCUGGGUCGUUCCCCUCGAGCCCACUCUCCCUUCCUCCCCGCUGCCGCCAGCCAUCCUCCCCGUCCCGCGCCUUCUCCUCCCCAUCGCCCCUCCCUGCCGCAGAAGCAGCAGUCCCCGCCCGUCGCCCAAGAGUCGAAGCCCGCCACCAAGCAGCCGCCCCCUCUCCUCUUCCUCCCACCUCAUCCCUCUCUCCCCAUCCAAACCCUAGCCCCGCACCGGCCUUCCUGCCCCGCCGCCGUCAUCUCCUUCGCCCGGUCGGCCGCCCCGCACCGCACGAGGUGGGAUGCGAGGAGGCAGGCGAGUCGCUCCAGCGAGGAUCCUAUCCCCACCGCGCAGCUCUGUAGCUCGCUCAGGCACCCGAACACCGACGCCAUGGAGGACGCUGCUCCACCCCUGCUCCGGUUCGUGCCCCCGAUGCCAUGGAGGACGCCCCUCCACCCCUGCUCUAGCCUGAAGGUGAUACGUUGUAAUAUGGCUGCACGUUGUAAUCUUGACAGGUUUGACUUGUUAUCUGUGAAUGGAGAAACAAAAACUGUAAUGCAGGAGAUAACUCAUGGUGCCUGCAACUAUCUCCUAAAACCCGUUCGCAUCGAGGAGCUUAGGAAUAUCUGGCAGCAUAAGGAUGUGAAGAUGAUAUCGCCUGAGUUGUCCCAGAGCACCAUACCGGAGCCUCGUUUCCUGCCUGCGCUAGAAAAGCGCCGUCGGUUGGGCGGCGCGUCGGUUGGCUCGUGGCGGCCUCAAGCAGCGCGGGAUUUGGCAUUCAGGGACGCCGUCAAGGGGUUCGUCGAUCUGACGACGGCAAGGAGCGACGCGGUCACUCGAGGUUGCGACAGGGGCGCCAAAAUGUGGUGCACGCAGAUCUGCAGAAGCUGUCGCGUGGAUCGUGCGAGGUGGCAAGGGGCGGCGGUUCGCGUCGCAUGGGUGCCGGCGAGGCGCGGUGCGGAUGCGGAAGGGGCGCAUCUUGGGCUGGCCGCUAGGGGCGGGCUCCGUCGGCCUCUCUGCAUCAAGUCCGGCCUGGUGGCGGCUCUAGGCAGCGACCAGUUUUUGGCUGUCGAGGUGGAGGACGUGUGGAGAUACAGCGAGGGCAUGUGGAUUGCCGGAUUGGCUGUCGACUAG